rnacentral:lncRNA from 13 species
GAAUGGUCCCUGCGCCUGCCUCUUCCUCCAUAGACUUGGGUCUUCCCCUGGUUCUUCUUUGGUUGUCCAGAGCCUGAAGGUGGUUUCUUUGCACCUUCCGUCUGUGUUGUGGUCUUCUUCGCUGGUGUGGUUGGAGGCUUUUUAUCGAUCUGUGACUUCUCAGGUUGUAGCUUUUUUUUCUUCUUCUCUGGGUGAGCUGGGGCCUGGUUCAGUCCUCCAGCCGGGGUCUUGGUCUCCCCCUUCUCCCCAGCUACAGAGCUCUUCUUGUCGGAUAGAGGGUUGUCCUUCUCUCCCUGGUCCUGUCUUUGUUCCUUGGCUUGUCUCUCCAGGCGGUGUUGGUGCACUGCUGCCUCCAGGGCCUUCAGGAUCUCCUGAGUUACCGGACUGAAGUCUAACAGGUUGUCUUCACCUUUUACAGACACUGGGCGAGCUACGGGUGCUGGUACAGAACCGGCAACGCUAGCAGCGUGAACGGUAGCGGUUGCUAUGGUUUCUCCAUUCUCGCCAUCCGGUUUUGCAGCGGUUUGGCUUUGGUCGUCGUUGGUCGGACUGGGUUCCGUUGCGGUCGCGUCGGAGUGUAUCGCUAUGGUGUCACUGGACUGGACGGCGCCUCCGUCAUCUCCCGGGUGUUGGGUAACCACAGGCUGUGUGGCAGAGGUGGUGGUAGGAACAGAUUUACCUGGUGUUGUACCUUUAGCGACAGGCUUCUUGCCUUGGACCGACUUCUUCUUGGCUCUGGUGCUGAAAUGACAGACAUUAGACAUACAUGACAGUAAGUGACGUUGACAUGCAAAUCCAAAGUGCAACAUAAUGGCCGAGAGUUGUUCCCUGAACAGGAAAAACUCUUUGAGCCCUAGUUGGACUUCACGGGUCCAAAAAGGACCGUUUCGAACGGACCCGAGCACAACUAGACUCCCUCCAUAAAGACCUGAUCGGAACCAGUCUGAUCCAAUACGAGUGAAGGAAACACCACAAAAGUCACGGGAAUUGUCUUCAGCCUGUACCGCCAACCUCUGUCUGUAGCCUACACACGAAUACGACACCUCUAUUUUAAAUGGUCCCUGAGUCCAGCAUGAAGGAAGUUAAGACUGGCAGUCAUUGUGUUACCGCUAGUUAGUAACUUCCUUUAAACUGCACGCAGACUCAUAAAAACUGUAUCUAUGAGUUCAUCAGACUCUGGGGAAGUAGACAAAGAGCCUCAUUGUCAACAUCCUAAAAGUAUCCUUUCAAGUCAAGAUUCCUGGAUGUAAUAUUGCAGUCCGUGUAUGUUUUGAUCGUUUGUUUUACCAAGUUAAAAUGUAAUCACGAACGUGAAAACUGGCAAAUAUAUAUAUAUAAAAAUAGGGGGGAAAAAAAAAAACUGCAAGAAAAUCACAUUUAAAUGAAACCAUUUGGAAAUGUUGUCACACCUUGGCCCUUGUAUUCAUAGAAAGUAUGACUACAUGUAAAAAAAAUGUACAGUUGCAAAGCAUGCUAGGUAUUAUUCUAAUGAGCUCCGUCCAGCAAAAAUAAAUUGAAGUAAUCUGAGCUUUUCAGUCAGCGCUACUGUUAUGUCGCUUCAAUUGAUUUGACUUCAUGUUUUGAACUUUUAUGUCAUUUUAAAACGUUGUCACACUAUAGAAAGAGACUUAUAUAAAAUAGCUUUUAUGCACACAGUGAUGUAUUGAUAUACAGACAGACAAGUAAUGAAAGGUUGAGGUAGACACUCACCUGGUGACAGGUGUCUUCUUGGCUGGGAGCUGCGGCUGAGCCGGGUGUUUAACCUUGACCAGCAUGUUGAAUUUCAGAGGCUUGUUCUGAACUACACAGGGGAACUUCUGGAAAUGAAGACAUACCGCCAUGGCUAUCGAGGACGACUCCAUCUCAAAAUAAAUCUAGGAGAGAGAGGACAAGAGGGAGGUAUACGGAUGAGAGUGUGUACCACAGGUGUGUAAAAAACAAGACCUGAAAACACCGGACUGUUGUACUUGUCCUUCAAGACCGAAAAACACCUGACUGUUGUACUUGUCCUUCAAGACCGAAAAACACCUGACUGUUGUACUUGUCCUUCAAGACCGAAAAACACCUGACUGUUGUACUUGUCCUUCUCCUUCAAGACCGAAAAACACCUGACUGUUGUACUUCUCCUUCAAGACCGGAGCACCUUAAUCUGAUGUAUACAAGUCUGGUCCCGGAGUGUCUAACUAAAUAAAACCAAAAUAUUUAGCCUGACUUCAUUCAGGGUCCGGAAAAAAUUGAUUUGAAGCAAAUCAAAACAUUUGUCUCAUUUGCCUGUUUAACACAAUAUUUCCCCCAAAAUUGGUAAAAGUUAAUAGCGAUAUGAUUAAAGGCAACAAAUGUUAACCUAUUAUUAGAUUGUGGUGCCUGGCCUUAACAUGUCUGUCUGUGUGUGUGUGUGUCUGUGGUACCCUGUUGAUCAGAGAUAGCGAAUCGAGG